rnacentral:rRNA from 1 species
CCUACGGGAGGCAGCAGUAGGGAAUCUUCGGCAAUGGGGGCAACCCUGACCGAGCAACGCCGCGUGAGUGAAGAAGGUUUUCGGAUCGUAAAGCUCUGUUGUAAGAGAAGAACGUGUGUGAGAGUGGAAAGUUCACACAGUGACGGUAACUUACCAGAAAGGGACGGCUAACUACGUGCCAGCAGCCGCGGUAAUACGUAGGUCCCGAGCGUUAUCCGGAUUUAUUGGGCGUAAAGCGAGCGCAGGCGGUUGGAUAAGUCUGAAGUUAAAGGCUGUGGCUCAACCAUAGUAUGCUUUGGAAACUGUUCAACUUGAGUGCAGAAGGGGAGAGUGGAAUUCCAUGUGUAGCGGUGGAAUGCGUAGAUAUAUGGAGGAACACCGGUGGCGAAAGCGGCUCUCUGGUCUGUAACUGACGCUGAGGCUCGAAAGCGUGGGUAGCGAACAGGAUUAGAUACCCCUGUAGUC